UAAUUUUUUCAAAAUCUAAUAUCCAAAUCAGUAUCUACAAUCAACCACACUAAAAUAUGCUAGUGUCUGUAAGAGCAAAGCAAAAUGAAUUGAAAUCAAAUACACAUUCUUAAACUUUAGCAACCAGCUAUGGAUAAUAUUGUGGGUAAAUUACACAAGGCCCCAACACCUGGCAAAAUAUACACCUGAGUUCUCCCUUUUUUCAAAGCAAAUUAGAUGGUUAUUAACCUUUCAAAUUCAUACACUUCGGUCAUUCAAUUACACUAAACACUUAACUAUAAAUUUAAAGUUUUAGUCGUUUUUAUAAAGGGUAUGCUAUACACUUUAUAGGAUUAACAGGUUGUUUCGUGCGAAAAAAUUAGGGACUAAAAGUUUAUUCCAUUUCCAUUUAAGAACUUCAUGACUCACUCAAAUCACACUAUUAGAAAGGAAGAAGUUUGAAAAGUGAUCUCAAAAUCUGCUUGCUUUUUUUAAUAAAGAAGGAAUCAAGUAUGUAUUUCUCCAAAGAAGGCCACUUCUUUAAUUUACCCUAACAUAAACAAUUUUGAAAAUAAAUCCAGUCAGCCUACACUUUCAUCGCAUCCUACACUUUCAUAAAUGGCCCAUAUACCCCUACAUUCAAUGCAACAUCUAACAUAAGCAUUAAAUUAAUUGAAUGAUAAGCAAAUGGAAUACAAUUGGCCAGAAGAGGAACAGCUUAAUAUAAAGUGAAGCAUCACUGAAAGGGGAUCUGACUAUUACCUAACUCACCCACAUCCCUCUCUUGAAGUGUACCAGAGCAAGAAACUGCAAGAUUCAUCACACUGCUACCUUCUCUGAACACUCCUGUGAUGAGUUCUGUUUUUUCCUUCUCCUGCAGGAGCAAAAGAAACGUGAGAGCAUUCAGGGAUUCAAUCAAAUACCACAGCUAAAAUAUAGCCACAGGCUUGUAUCCACAAUUCAGUUAAGCUGGCCCCAUAUUAGAAUCAUCACUAAACUAAUGUUCUAAGCCUCCAUUAUUUCCUUCCAAUUCUCCUACACAAGCAGCAUACUUUCACCUAUAUCUCAACAGUGAUGUUUAGAUCCCAUCAGUGUGUAUACAUCCAUAUCUCUUGACAAAUGAUUUGCAUUAGGACCUCACCAUCAUUUUAUUAGAAACUGAAAUUUCCCUCAAUAAUUUUUCAAUUUCUCUUAAUAAUUUUUCUCUUUUUUUCCUCAUGAGUCACUCUUUGCAACUCUUAUAGCAUGCUUCUACAUGGCAAACAGUUAACUUUCUUAUCUGAAUAUAUGUCUUCUUAGACGCCAUUUAGCAUGCGUGCAAAUUAAAUACUUAAAAUGAAUUUCUCAGCCUCUACAGAGAGGUGAAAACUCAACCAAAACCGGGGAAAAAGAGAAGAGAAGAAAAGAAAAGAACAUCCUUGGGAGCUAAAGAACCUGUAAAAAAUGUUCAUUUGAUAACUGUCCCAUAAAAAGCAAUUCUAAAACAAUAUAUGAAAUAUCAAACAAACGAAAAUAAUCAAAGGAUUGAGCAAAAAGGGAAAAUUCAAAACAAAUUUCUAGACUACAUGUUAUAAAGAUGAAUUGCUCAAGGGUAUGUCCACUCUUAAUUAAUAUAACCCAUGACUACGCAUGCUCUAUGUAAUACUAAGAUUUGGUCAGUUCAGGAUGUAAUGAACUUAACUCAUGGAAACUUACUCUAUAUAUUGUUUGAUGAGUGACUUGGGCCUCUCAAAACCAUCUUUCUGUUGCUGAGGCCUUGGUUUCCCUGCCUUCCUUGAUUCUGGUUUCCAGCGAGCUUGGAUGAGUGAUUGACCCAGUAAAUCAGCAAUUUCCGUUGCCAUUGUCUCAGCUUUCUUAACGUAUGGAAAAGUUUCCUCUUUAAAUUGAUGAGACAACCACAGAUACGUGGAAAGAACUUGAUGUUUAGUUUCGAGAUCUAGAAGCUCUGAGUCAUUCUGAGCAGAUCCCUUUGGCAUGCCCAUUGCUAUACCAACAGGGACCUUCUGACUAUAGGAAGAAGCAAACUUUAGAAGAUGGUACAUUGCUUUUGGGUCUCUAAUAUUAACUGGAGCAAAACAAAAGUUGAAACGAUCUUCCAAGGAUAAUCCCUGAACCUUCUCCAACAUAUAUGCUACCUUCUUUAUAUUAUCAUGCCGACAUAAGAAGUAAGACCCAUCAAGACGACAAUUUUCACCAAACUUUUCAAGCAGUUGAGGAAAAGUAACAUCUGGAAGUUGCCCAGCAAAUAAUUCAACCUGCUCAUAGAAAGGAAAGAGACCCACUUUCUUUACUUCUUCAAAAGGUUGCUUUAAACAUUCAAUCAGGUAACCGAGAUCAUCCAAAUGCAGGGUGGAAGUAAGUCCAUCUGGGUAGCGGCUUCCUCUCCUCCCAGCUCUUCCAGCAAUCUGCUUCACCUGUGAUGCUGGAACUGGAACAAUCUUGUCGCCAUUGUACUUUGAAAGACUGUUAAAAACUACUCUUCUAAUAUUGAGAUUCAAACCCAUACCCACAGCAUCACUUGCAACCAGCACAUCAAAUUCAUUAUCUUGAUCAUUGAAUAAGUUAGCCUGCUGUCUACGUGUCUCUGGCGGUAAGGCACCAUAAAUAACACAACAACGAUGCUUGGUGUGUUUCUCAAUCGCCAAUUUUACCUCAAAAAUCUCUCUUCUUGAAAAUGCAACCACACAAUCCCCAGAGCGUACAUUUCGAAGAUCUCCCAACAGGGUUUUGGCUUCAACCACUAGUGGUUUGAACCUGUCAUAAUGGUGUUCAAGCAGUUCAUCUCCAGUUUCUGAACAUAUCUUUCUUACUAUAUUCAGAACACUUGGAUCUCCACAUAAAUGAAUCUCAUCCGCCUUCAAACCAAGCAGUGCUCUUGUCCAUGCAAAACCUCUGAAUGAGUCUGCCAUCAUCUGGAUCUCAUCAAUGACAGCCACAUCAUACAAUUCAUCAGUUGACACCAUUUCCACAGUACAAGCCACGUGAUUUGAGAAUGGGACAUUUUUCUUCUCUUGUCCUGUGUGAAGGCUACAGUAAACACCAAGAGCAUUCACUUUGUCAAAAACUUCCAUUGCCAAGAGCCUGAGUGGACUGCAAUAAACACCCUUCUUAGCUUCCAUAAAUCGUUGCAGUGCAUUGUAAGUUUUACCGCUGUUUGUUGGGCCACAAUGAUAUAUAAUUCUACGUUUCAUUGCCCGAGCAAAAGGAAACCAUGUAUAUGGCUUCGUAAGAUCUGCAGACUCAAUCAUACUUCGAAAGCGCUUAAUUUCAUCAGGAAACUCUUCUAUGCAAUAUUCAACAAAUAUUGGAAAAAGGAACCUAACAGCAGCAUCGCACGGACCAAGUGAAACCAAGUACAUAGCAAGCUGAGCAGAACAUUUCCUAAAGAAAAAAUUCCGAAACUUAUGAGCAGCAGUGGGAAAAAAUGACAUGCCAAUAUAAAUCGCAAGAGCCUGAUUGGCAGCCCAGCCAGAAUUAGCAAAGUAAAAGAAUAUUUCUCGUAGAAUCUCCCAAUCAGACCGUCUCAGCUUAUCAUUCUUUUCAGCAUUUCGAAGCUCCUGAUAUAUUUCUACAGGAUCACGAAAUUGCACAUUUUUUUUCACUGCAAUUUUAUUGUUGCUACCACUAUCUUGAUUUUCAUGUUCCUCUACAGAAGUUAUAGGAUAAGAAAAGGUGCUCCCAUUAACAUCACCAACUCCAUCUUCAAUUGUCUUCUCAAUAACACCUUCCACACGAAUAGUUUCUACAAAAUCCAUAUUAAUGUUCUCUUCCAUUUCCGUACUGCUUCUAUUCUCAUCAUCCCCGUCUUGGACUGAUGAAGAAAAUGGCCUCCCAUUUAUGGCACUAAAAAGGGUAAAUUUUGGGUUCCAUGAGGGCAACUGAGGAUGAAUUAAGCCUAUCGAACUUGAGAUUUGAUGGUAGGGCAAAUCAAAUGGAGGAAUAAGUUGAUGACUUUCUAAUACCCAGUUGUUAAAUUGUCUAAAAGAACGCAAAUUUUGAUUUGAGAGUAAAAAUCUAGCCCUAGAAACCUUACUUUUUGAUGCGUAGGCUCGAAAGAGAGACGCAAUAGGGCCUCUUGCCAUUAGAAACUGACUUUUACAAAAACAAAAUACAAAUAAAAUUCAAUUUUUUACGAGAUUAAGCAACUUCAUCAAAACAAUAGAUAUCGAAUAAACCAGAUUAAAGUAGCAAAUGACUUCCAAUAGAAAGAGCGAGCAAGCGAGAGAGAGAGAGAGAGAGAG
rnacentral:misc_RNA from 1 species